rnacentral:rRNA from 1 species
UACAGAGGUCCCAAGCGUUGUUCGGAUUCAUUGGGCGUAAAGGGUGCGUAGGUGGCGCCAUAAGUCAGGUGUGAAAUCUCGGGGCUCAACCCCGAAACUGCACUUGAUACUGUGGUGCUCGAGUACUGGAGAGGAGAUUGGAAUUUACGGUGUAGCAGUGAAAUGCGUAGAUAUCGUAAGGAAGACCAGUGGCGAAGGCGAAUCUCUGGACAGUUACUGACACUGAGGCACGAAGGCCAGGGGAGCAAACGGG